rnacentral:rRNA from 1 species
CUGCAUGGUUGUCGUCAGCUCGUGCCGUGAGGUGUCGGGUUAAGUCCCAUAACGAGCGCAACCCCUACCUUUACGUUGCCAUCAGGUUAAGCUGGGGACUCUAAAGGAACUGCCUACGCAAGUAGUGAGGAAGGCGGGGAGUGACGUCAAAUACAGCACGGCCCUUACGUCCAGGGCUACACACGUGCUACAAUGGCCGAUACAGAGGGCAGCUACCUGGUGACAGGAUGCAAAUCUCCAAAGUCGGUCUCAGUUCGGAUCGGAGUCUGCAACCCGACUCCGUGAAGUUGGAUUCGCUAGUAAUCGCGCAUCAGCCAUGGCGCGGUGAAUACGUUCCCGGGCCUU